ACUCCUACGGGAGGCAGCAGUGGGGAAUAUUGCACAAUGGGCGCAAGCCUGAUGCAGCGACGCCGCGUGGGGGAUGACGGCCUUCGGGUUGUAAACCUCUUUCAGUAGGGACGAAGCGCAAGUGACGGUACCUACAGAAGAAGCACCGGCCAACUACGUGCCAGCAGCCGCGGUAAUACGUAGGGUGCGAGCGUUGUCCGGAAUUACUGGGCGUAAAGAGCUCGUAGGUGGUUUGUCGCGUUGUUCGUGAAAUCUCACAGCUUAACUGUGAGCGUGCGGGCGAUACGGGCAGACUGGAGUACUGCA
rnacentral:rRNA from 1 species